GGAUGUGAGGGCGAUCUGGGUGCGACAUCUGUCACCCCUUUGAUUGCCAGGGUUGAUUCAGCUGAUCUGGCUGGCUAGGCGGGUGUCCCCUUCCUCCCUCAUCACUCCAUGAAGCUGCACGCUCAGUUGAAGAGGACAGCCUUCCUGGAACAGAGACAGAACAGUCUUUGGUCGAGGGUAAAGGAGGAGCUGCACUCCCCUGCUAGAACCUCCAAACAAGCUCUCAAAAACUGUAAUUCUGCCAUAUACCUUACAACAGUUUUAAUUGUUUAAGGAAAUGCAUUUAUUCUUUGAAU
ensembl:misc_RNA 7SK 7SK RNA